UACCAGAUUUCUAAACCUAAACGCUCCCGUUUCAACCCUCCCCUCAUUCUCUCCCAAAUCGACUCUCUCUCACUUCUCUCACGACAGAACACCGAGAAACCCUAAAAAAUCUUCAUCCUCUUGGUUUCUUCUUCUUUCUCUGUAAUAAUCAAGCCUCCAUCUUCGAAUCGACAAGAAAUCGAAUAGGAUCUAGAUAAUGGCAGGCCGUAAGAAGCGCAUACAGAAAAAAACAGAGUAAUCAAAGAAAAGAAACGACCACAAGAGCUCAAAAAAACAUUGCUCCUAUAGUAGAAGAGCAUGUAGAAGAGCUUUCAGAAGGGAACUUUAGUGAUGAUCUAUCUGUUCCAUCUGAGGAAUCUCAACCAUUGCCUCCAUGUAAUCUCUACUUCAAGAACACCGAGUUCACCAAGACGUGUAAGAUUCAGAGCAAAUGUUAUGUGACUGACAUGGUGGGUGUCAUCAAAAAGCUGAAGGAUGAGUUGCCCUGGUUUGAAAGGAAUUCUCAGUUUAGUCAUUUUUUCCACAUGCCUCAAAAAGAUAGAAGAGCUGAAGAAGAAGCCUAAAACCAAGCCUUAGAAAGACUAUUGGAUUAAAAUAUUUUGAUGUUUAAUAUUAACUCGGCAUUGUAGUAAAACUUAUGUAGGAUGGUCUGUUUAAACCUAUGCUUUCUCUGUUUAAACUUAUUAUUUUGAACUUGUAUGAUUGUGUUGUAACAGGUUUCGACUACUAGUAAUACAAGGUGUUACUAAGCCUGAAAAAAUAAAUUUGUACUACUAGGUAUUACUAAGAAACUAUCAA